GACGUAGGGCGCGAGCGUUGUCCGGAUUUAUUGGGCGUAAAGAGCUCGUAGGCGGCUUGUUGCGUCGGCUGUGAAAUCCCGUGGCUUAACUGCGGGCUUGCAGCUGAUACGGGCGGGCUGGAGUUCGGUAGGGGAGACUGGAAUUCCUGGUGUAGCGGUGAAAUGCGCAGAUAUCAGGAGGAACACCGGUGGCGAAGGCGGGUCUCUGGGCCGAUACUGACGUGGAGGAGCGAAAGCCGUGGGGAGCGAACAGG
rnacentral:rRNA from 1 species